GCAAUCGUUAGCCGGUGGAUUAAAGAACCCGUCCACUUCCGGUACUACCGGAAGCAGCUUGAAAAUGGCGUCCUCCUCGGUGAGAGCUCCUGUCCCGGCGGCUGGAAAAGGUGAAUUUCCCAAUGAGAAGUCUAAGCCCGAGAACCGAGGUUUGAAAAGUAGUCCUAGAUACCAUGAAGAAUAUUCAUCCCAUUUACAACAUUAAACUUCUACUGAGAGUAAACUCGAUGUGGCUGCCAUCAAGGAGAAGGUCAAGAAAGCAAAGGGAAAGAAACUUGGAGCUCUUACAACUGAAGAAGUGAAGCUGCAGAUGGAAGCAGAUGAGAAGAAAAAGAAGAGAAAAAAGUAACUCUGAGAAGCCUUCCUGAAGUGAAACUUAUAUUUCCUUUGGUAGAGGGCUGUGAGAAAGCUGGCCAUGAGUUGCCUUAUACGUGAGCAGUAACAGUGGUCAUCUCUUUUCCCGAGUGUCUUCGGUUUGUAGAGCAGCACUCAUUCUAGAUGUAUGUAGCUCACUCAUUUUACAGACUUGGAAACUAAAGCAUAGAGACAAGGUUACUUAGUGAAAGUCCAGCUAUGGAAGCUUAUGAACAAUAUUUGUUUGCAGAAAUGUGGAAAAUAAAGGGGGUCGGUGGUUAACUUACAGAGUUAGGAGGCCAAGCAGUUCUUUUGACUAAAGCUUUAUUGCAACAUGCUUUUUCUGAAAUAAAAUAGAAAUUAAAAAUAUCCCCAGUUUCAUUUAUUAAAAAGCCACAUAUGUAUAAAUUGUUCCUUUCCCUAUUGUAUUAGUCCAAAAGAACUAAAUUAGGAUAUUUCUCCUUUACCAGCAGGGUAAUUAUAACAGACAGCAAUAGAAGUACUGAUUUAACAAUGAGAAUGAGUGAUGUGUAUCUGUUACGUGAAUAUAUGGGCCAUCCAGGAUAUACAACAGAGUAGUAACCUAGGGAAUAAAAACAUGGUGUCCUCUUAGACAUUCUUUCUUAACAUAAAUGCAAUAACAAUUCAUAUAAUGCUUAAUGAAACAGAUUAAGAUUGUUGUACAUACGUGUUACAUUGUCUCGUCGUGGGUUAACUGUAAAGUCAGAAUUUUAAAGAGUUAUUUACAAGUAAAGCUCAUUUUAUAAAAA